AGAGUUUGAUCCGUGCUCAGAGUGAACGCUGCGGCAGGCCUAAUACAUGCAAGUCGAACGGCAGCACAGCAGAGCUUGCUCUGUGGGUGGCGAGUGGCGGACGGUGAGGAAUACAUGGGAAUCUGCCCAGUCGUGGGGAUAACGUAGGGAAACUUACGCUAAUACCGCAUGCGCCCUUCGGGGGAAAGCCGGGGACCUUCGGGCCUGGCGCGAUUGGAUGGGCCCAUGUCGGAUUAGCUAGUUGGCGGGGUAAUGGCCCACCAAGGCGACGAUCCGUAGCUGGUCUGAGAGGAUGAUCAGCCACACUGGAACUGAGACACGGUCCAGACUCCUACGGGAGGCAGCAGUAGGGAAUAUUGGACAAUGGGCGCAAGCCUGAUCCAGCCAUGCCGCGUGAGUGAAGAAGGCCCUCGGGUUGUAAAGCUCUUUUGUCCGGAAAGAAAAGCGCCGGGUUAAUACCCUAGUGUCCUGACGGUACCGGAAGAAUAAGCACCGGCUAACUUCGUG
rnacentral:rRNA from 1 species